rnacentral:rRNA from 1 species
UACGUAGGGUGCAAGCGUUGUCCGGAAUUAUUGGGCGUAAAGAGCUCGUAGGCGGUUCGUCGCGUCGGCUGUGAAAACCCGGAGCUCAACUCCGGGCCUGCAGUCGAUACGGGCGGACUCGAGUUCGGCAGGGGAGACUGGAAUUCCUGGUGUAGCGGUGAAAUGCGCAGAUAUCAGGAGGAACACCGAUGGCGAAGGCAGGUCUCUGGGCCGAUACUGACGCUGAGGAGCGAAAGCGUGGGGAGCGAACAGG